rnacentral:sRNA from 1 species
CCUUGGCUGAUGCUCCCUGGGUGGCUUGUUCAUAACAAGGUUGGUUAUAGCAUGUUUAGCAUGAUUGACCCCUGAAGGGCUGAGCCUGUACCGUCAGCUGUGCAGUCCAGUGUGGCAGUGUCAGGCAACGAUACUUACAACUCGACAUUUAGACCCAUGCACCUCACUCAUGCCAAUUGGGUGAAACUGUCCAGCACAACCUCCAUGAGUGGCGUCAUCCCAGCAGGAACAACUCCAUGACAAGUGAUGUGUCUGUGUGGUAGUUUUCCCCUGGAGUCCACUUCUGAAGAGAAGCAGUUUCAAGAGGCAGACAAAGGAGGGAGAUGAAAAUCAGCAGGGCCCAGCAGGAGUUAGCUGGAUGGCCUCAGAAUACCUGAAGCUAGGUGAUGGAUAAAGAAAAAAGGUUCAGUUGACUUGCGGUGCUGGUGGCUGGCUGCUCUGCAGUCCAGGGAGAGGUGGCUCAAGCAAAGGUGACUCUGGGGACAUUGUCAUUGUCGAUUGUUUGAAGAGGCUCGGGUCUUGAAUGUGAAAUGAUGCUUAAAAGAGACUUUGACAACCAUCCUAGGAGAAAGGCGAAGACGCUAACAGUUGUGAAAUGGACACUUGCUGAGGAAACACGAGAACGUCUGCAUUUCCAUAAACUUGAGAAAACUCCUGAGUAUUUGGAGGCAUGCAGGGGUGAAGAAGAAAUGCCAAGUGCUUACAAGACUGAUUUUCCUGAGAAAGUGACUCAUUUUCCCUGUGUAUAUUUCUAUGUCGCCAUGGUUCUGGCAGGCAUAUGCUGCAAGGAAUCUUCCAAGAUGGUCAGAGGCAUCAGCAGAUUAUGCUAAUGCUGACGGCUCUGUUUCCAGCCUCCACCGAUGAGUGCCUCUGCCUUCCUUGGCUCAUAUCAACACAUUGAAAUGAAGCUUACAGAAUGUGGCGGUAAGACAAAUUAUGAUUGCCUUCACUCUGUGUGUGGGUGUGGGGAUGCACAGGCACAUGUGUGCAUGCACGCAAA